ensembl:snoRNA
CUCUCUGUCUCCAAUAAAUAAAUAAAAAUAAAAUAAUUAUUUAGCCCCUUUCAGGAACAUAGCAACUUAGAAGAAAACCUGGCAUGCCUAGGGUCCUUGGAGUGCAUGGGAUGUGUAUUUCCUUUGCCUUCCUUUGGCUGCCUACAUCA